AAAUAAAAAUUAUUUUUUAAAAAAUAAAGCUAUUAAAUAGAAAGGGUUCAGCCCUCAACAAAACGACGGAUUACCCCAUCUCUCUUCCCUACCUGCACAAAGUAAAGCCUUCUCCAAUAACCUAAUCUGUCCUAUUUUUUAUUUUUUUUUAAGAAAAAACUGAAGUUUCUGCUUGUCUGAAACCAAAAUUUCAUGCUACUUUGGUUUCUGUUUAACCUUUUCUUUUCAGCCCCCUUUUGAAAUCAUUUUUGUGCAGGUAUGGUGGUUGGACUGGGUUUGAUAAAUCCGAAAAGGUAAGUAAUGCUGGGAUCUGGUACUGUACUGAAGUUAUCUCUUAAUGCCUUUAUGUUUUUGCUUUAUGGAGUUUAGUUGAUGAACAUGCGUGUACAGAGACUAAAUUUUAUUCCUAAAUAAUAACACCUUUUUCGCUGCAUGUAUUUGACAUUCUGGUUUUCUUUCCAAUUUCUAUUUUGCUUUAUGGAGUUUAGUCGAUGAACAUGUGUGUACAGAAACUAAAUUCUAUGCCUAUAUAAUAAAUCUUGAUCCAAUCCAAAUUUGCAAAAGUUGGUUUUGGUUUGUGUUUAACACUCUUAAAAGGGCCAUAUGAGAAUUUGCAAAGUGGAAAUGGAGACAAUAUAGAGUGUUUUUUUUUGUCUUUUUCAUUUCUCCUUCCAAGUUUGGUGCUAUUUUCAGGCCCUUACCAUUUGUGUUUAACACUCUUAAAAGGGCCAUAUGAGAAUUUUUCAAAUGACAACCAGUUGUUUUCUCAUUGAGGCCUGUGACAAACUUUGAGGAAAUUUGUUCACACUUCAUACAUUCAAUGUACAUUCCAUUUACAGAACCAAAUUGCAGGCAUUGAUCUGACUGCUGAUAAAUCAAGAAAUAUUAAUAAGAUGUCUAAAGUUGAUGACCAAUAAGCAUCAUGUGCAUAUCCAGUGUUUCCCUGUUGGUUGAUUAUGUGUAUUUUCUCUGGUUGAAGCUGCAAAGUAAUACUUUGAUUCAUGCUCCGAUGGUAGAAUCAUCAGUUCCCUCAUGUGUGGUAUGGAUCAGGCAGACAUAAGACAUCCACAUCAAACCAUGUAUUAGACUAAGUCGACUUACGUUAUUUCAAAUCUUUAAUUUUCUAAACAAGUAAAGGCCUCACUUUUUAAAAUAAUAUCUUUAAAUGAAAUUAUCUUAAUUCAAAAACGUCAAGUGAAAUUAACAGAUAAAGAGAGUUCUGUGAGUGUUAGAGAGUUGAGUUGAGAAGUGGUUAUCUCCUCCUCAUUGUAAUGUGUAUGUUUUCACUUUGUUAAUGAAAGGAACAGCUAUAUGAAUGUAGAUAAAUUGCCGAAUCACGUUAAAUUUUGUUUUUGCUGUGUGCUUUAAUUCUGGGAAACCCCAACAUGUCCUACCCAGUCAUGCUUCCUAAAGCUGUUCUUUUCUUGAGGGAUUUCUUAUUCAAUUUGAAAGUCAUUUUCACCGUGCAACAUGUAACCGUACGGAUAUUAUUUAAUCGAGCAUUUUCAUCUUUAUUCUUAAAUACAAAGGUUUUUAACCUCUUCCUUCCUUCCUUCCUGAAUUCAAUUACUGUUAUUAUUACUCCAUACUCUCCCUAUCUAUUUAUUCUAUCAUCCACAGCCCUCAUCUGAUCAAAUUAUUACUGUUUUUUGAUGUAGGACAUGAAGAAGUUAUUACUGUUAGUUAGUUUAUUUGUUAGAUCUCAGUCCUUUUAGGAUUCUACUUUUAUUUUUAUCUGUCGUUAGUGUUGGAAACAAGUCAAACUUGUUUGAUAUUAGUUUCUCAUUCCUUUUAGGAUUCUGUUUUCUGUUUUCGUUUCUUUAAAAGCACCAAGUCAGGAAGGUUGUAGAUAUUAUUAUUAUUUUUCAUCAAUAAACUUGUUCUUUGAACACAACUAUUCUCUCGUGGAUUCGAGAUUAUUUAGCUUCCGCUACGUCAUUUUUCUUUGAAUAUUCGCAACAUUUUUUCAAUUAAUUGGGAAAACAAUUACCCAAACUCUCUGCCCUAAUCCAUCCUCAAAUUUCUUGUUUCUUCUCUUAUGAUUAUUUUGUUUGAGGAAAAACCCCUUUUACUUCCAUAAUACAAUCUUUCUUUCUUUUAAAAAGAACUCAAAAACGAAAACUAACAGAAGGCGCAUGAUGAUGGUAUUGGAGCUACCUAGAGACUAACAUUGUUUUCAUGUAAUACCAUAUUCUGAUGGAUACUUUGCAUUCAUGUUGUUUUCCAGGCCAUUAUCAAGCCAGAGAUGAAUGUCCGAUAUACAUUGCAAGUGAUGUCAAUGGAGUUCAGAGG